rnacentral:lncRNA from 1 species
ACAAGGCAGGACUCUCACAGGGGUGUGGGCUGUGCAGGGGUCAGCACGAGGAGCGUUGCUUGACAUGGCCCACUUUUGCCCACCCAACAUAGGAAGUGCCUUCCUCCCCUGCAUUAUCAUUAUGGGUGACGGUAACAGCAUCACGUUUAAUUCCAACUCGAGGAACAUACCUAGACCUACAAGGGGCCCCACUGGGGCAGGAGCAUUGCCUUUGAAGAGAUCCAGAAAGUUCGACUGCGGGACUGCAGGUUGUCCUGUGGGGGACAUCUGGCCUGGAGGUUCUGAGGCAAAGAUGUCUGAAGCAAGCAAGUCGUUUGCUGAAGACUGACAAAAUGGAGAAGGAGGGAGAAGAGUUAUUCAGGAGGAGGGAACACAGCUUCUGCCUGUCUUCCACUGUUUACCCAAAGCUAACCACCACGGAAAGGAAAACCUCCUAUUAUUACUGGCAAGUGAUUACUUCUAUCGAAGUAAAUAACAGACCAAAGGUGAGGUGGGGGUUGGGGGCGAGAGGGAUAAGGACACAUGGCUUCAGUGGGUAGAGAAGUGGAUACCAUCUUGGACUUGCAAAAUGAAAUCUACUUUUCUCAUUUUAUCCUUUUGUGUCAGUCUGGUCUCCGUAUUGGCUAAAAAACGUGAAGCUGGGAAAGAAAGCGCAAUGUAAGCUUCCUAAAUAAUUACAAUCCUUCUAUUUGAUUAGCUUGGACAGAGACAACACUGCCUUCGUUAUUAGGUCAAUCUGCACAUUCCUAUGAGUGCUUUUAAAAAAAAAUCUCCUACAGACGCUGCACUUGGAGUCGCUUUUGAAUGAAGUUGGUAAUAGUGGUCUUGUAAGUUUCUAAGUCAAUGGGUUACUCAAUCGACAUUUACAUUUAAGAGAGGAGACAGACUUGAGAGUUUUUCACCACCACCAUGGACGUCAGCGAUGAGGGGUGUGCGGGACGUGGCGUUAGUGUGGGGGCAGGACCAAGGGAAUCAUCACAAGAACUCUCGCCCUCCCAUCCCAAAACAUGACAAUUAAACUUACCAGAGGAACAGAAGCAUAGCAGCAUU